GACGAACGCUGGCGGCGUGCCUAAUACAUGCAAGUCGAACGCAUUUUCCUUCACCGUAGCUUGCUACACCGAAAGAAAAUGAGUGGCGAACGGGUGAGUAACACGUGGGUAACCUGCCCAUCAGCGGGGGAUAACACUUUGAAACAGGUGCUAAUACCGCAUAAUUCCAUUUACCGCAUGGUAGAUGGAUGAAAGGCGCUUUUGCGUCACUGAUGGAUGUACCCGCGGUGCAUUUGCUAGUUGGUGGGGUAACGGCGUCACAAGGCUGCGAUGCUAAGCCCAAAGGCUAGGUGGGUGGGCCACCCUGGGAUGGAGACCAGGCCCAGAGGGCUACGGGAGGCAGCAGUAGGGAAUCGUCGGCAAUGGAAGGAAGUCUGACCGAGCAAGGCCGCGUGAGUGAAGAAGGUUUUCGGAUCGUAAAACUCUGUUGUUAGAGAAGAACAAGGAUGAGAGUGGAAAGUUCAUCCAUUGACGGUAUCUAACAAGAAAGCAACGGCUAACUACGUG
rnacentral:rRNA from 1 species